rnacentral:rRNA from 1 species
CACGUAGGGGUGCGAGCGUUGUCCGGAAUUAUUGGGCGUAAAGAGCUCGUAGGCGGUGUGUCGCGUCGGCCGUGAAAACCUGCAGCUUAACUGUGGGCUUGCGGUCGAAUACGGGCAUCACUGGAGUUCGGCAGGGGAGACUGGAAUUCCUGGUGUAGCGGUGAAAUGCGCAGAUAUCAGGAGGAACACCGGUGGCGAAGGCGGGUCUCUGGGCCGAUACUGACGCUGAGACGCGAAAGCGUGGGGAGCGAACAGG